rnacentral:rRNA from 1 species
AGAGUUUGAUCCUGGCUCAGGACGAACGCUGGCGGCGUGCUUAACACAUGCAAGUCGAGCGAAAGGAUUCCCUUCGGGGAUGAAUUUAGCGGCGGACGGGUGAGUAACACGUGGGCAACCUGCCUUAUAGAGGGGGAUAGCCUUCCGAAAGGAAGAUUAAUACCGCAUAAUAUCAGAUUAUCGCAUGGUAGUUUGAUCAA